rnacentral:tRNA from 1 species
CGCGGGGUGGAGCAGCCCGGUAGCUCGUCAGGCUCAUAACCUGAAGGUCGCAGGUUCGAAUCCUGCCCCCGCUACCA